rnacentral:rRNA from 1 species
UGGGGAAUAUUGCACAAUGGGCGCAAGCCUGAUGCAGCCAUGCCGCGUGUAUGAAGAAGGCCUUCGGGUUGUAAAGUACUUUCAGCGGGGAGGAAGGGAGUAAAGUUAAUACCUUUGCUCAUUGACGUUACCCGCAGAAGAAGCACCGGCUAACUCCGUGCCAGCAGCCGCGGUAAUACGGAGGGUGCAAGCGUUAAUCGGAAUUACUGGGCGUAAAGCGCACGCAGGCGGUUUGUUAAGUCAGAUGUGAAAUCCCCGGGCUCAACCUGGGAACUGCAUCUGAUACUGGCAAGCUUGAGUCUCGUAGAGGGGGGUAGAAUUCCAGGUGUAGCGGUGAAAUACGUAGAGAUCUGGAGGAAUACCGGUGGCGAAGGCGGCCCCCUGGACGAAGACUGACGCUCAGGUGCGAAAGCGUGGGGAGCAAACAGG